GCUCUGGUCCGUGGAAAACGAGCAAAUCUGGCAACCCCUAAUAGCAACGGCCCUUCCAUUAGCCGCAGAAGUGUCUUUACCCUAGCAAGCUUCACUGCCCUCUGCUGAAACUGGAAACAUAUAAUGACAAGAUACUGACCGAGAUUUGUAUGGUUUACUAUCAUAGCUUAAAGAAGACAACCAAAGGCUUGAUGAGCAGCUGUGAGGACAUCAAA